UUAGACCCCUAGCCUGGGAACCUCCAUAUGCCAUGGGUGCAUUCCUGAAAAGCUGAACAAAAGCAAGUAGUAAACAGUAUGGCCUUUCCAAGUCUAGGUCAAAAGAUCACAGUGAUAAUGAGGCCACAGCUGGAUAGGCCAGUUAAAUCAACAAUAAAAGGGCUACAUGUGAUAUUCGUCCUUCCAUUCAAACAUCUGACAUUCUCUAGCCUUUCUGAACACUCCUUAACAUAUCGUAGUGUUUUGUUGUUGUUCAGUAUUUAUCCUGGUCAGUCUCAGAUAUUCUCUGAUUAUUAGCUUACUGGUUAGGACUCACUAUAGGCCCCACUGGCAACUUCAUUCUAUCUCAAUUCAUGGUAUUAUUAUUAUUCACUCAAACAUGUCUGUUCCUUGUAAUUACAACUGUGAUAAUCACAUCUGCCUCACAAGAGUUACUCUGAAGACUAAGGUCUCUAAUCUAGGGUCAAAGAGGAAGCACUCUAUCUGUUAGCUGCCAUUACCAAUAAUAUCAUUUACAAUUAAUUAAACCUCAAACAUCUUUGACCCUUUCAUCUACUUUUUAAAUGUCCCCAAUACUUCUUAUUGUCUCUUUUUUCCCUCUCUCUCGUGUGCAAGUAGAGACUCUUUCUUCAUCUCUGCCCUGAAUUAGUGCAGUAAUUCCCUGACUUCCAUUUCUUUUGCAGUUCAUAGCUACUUUUUCUGAAACACUGAUUUGAUCCUAUUAAUGCCCAUGCUCAAAAACUUUUGUCAGCAGGAUCAACUAGUUUCUGAACCUCAUUGGCUACAUUCCAGAAUGUCCCUCAACACCCUUUGACCCUUCAUACAUCAUUGCCUUUGUGAAUACUGCUCCCUCUGCUUGAAGCACUGGUGAUUUUCACUUUCCCCCAAUCCCAACAAGAUGCAUUCUUGGUGAUACUGUACCAUUCUCCGAACUCCAGAAGUCAGACAUUUAGGGCAGUCCAGCUUAUUUGGUCCUUAGCAGUCCAUUUUUUUGUUGUUGCAUUCAACCAGUGGGAGCACCUGCAGCAGAUAAAAGGACAAGAAGAGAACAAGGUCAAGGUAUUUACUCCCCCUGCUCCUCCUGUCUCCCUACCAUGAUUCUGGGCUUGGUGGCAUCCUUCAGUUCAGUAAUUACAGAUCCUUUCAGUUGGCCCCUCCUUUGAAGCUCCUAAGUAGGACCUAACAAGAUCACUUUUCUCAGGCCUUGUAAUGAUGUUGCCUUCCUGCUAUUACUGGAACCUUUAUUUAAAACUAUCUUCAACAACCCUAGCUGAUGGAGACUGGGCAAGAUGGAGGAGUAGAAAGACACUCUGCUCAGAAGUUACAACUGUUUACAGAACAACUAUCAGUGAAAAAGACUUGAAUCUGCCACAAAGACCUUCUACAAAUAAAGAAGAAACUGCAAGACAGGACACAGCAAGAAGGCUGCCAUCUGGAAGCCAGGAAGAAGGCCCUUACCUGGGAACCAGAUCUGCUGGCACCUCGAUCUUGAACUGCUUGGACUCCAAAACUGUGAGGGCUGCACCCGUGACAUAUCAAAGUGCCAAGGCGAGGGGUCGAAAAUCAGAGCUACAGCGGCCGUUUUACACCACAGCUCAC